rnacentral:rRNA from 1 species
UCCGCUCAAAGAUUUUUUAAAUUGCUGGGGUAUUUUGGCUAUACCAAGGUAUUGUAAUAAGAUUUUAAUUGAAUGCUAAAAGAAUGGAAAUUUAAAAAAAAACUUUUUUAAAAAUAAAAAUUGAAUUUUUUUUAAUUUGGGCAAAAACCAUUAUAUUUAUUAAAGACCAGAAGACCCUAAGAAAUUUAGAUUUUACCAUUAAAAAGUUUUCUUUUAAAAUCCUGAUUGGGGCGAUCAAAAAAUAUUAAUAACUUUUUAAAAUUUAAAUUGAUCUAUUAUUAAUAAACUAAGGAAUUAAAUACUCUAGGGAUAACAGCGUAAUAAUUUUUGAUAGCUCUUAUUGACCAAAUAGUUUGCGACCUCGAUGUUGGAUUAGGAUUCUUUUUUAAUGAAGAAGUAAAAAACAGAAGCC